rnacentral:rRNA from 1 species
AUGUCGUGCAACGUUCGGCUGCUUCGACUCAGCAACCAUGACCCCAGUGAUCUAGAUGCUCAAUAUGAGAAUAUAGAGGAUGUUCUGCUUCACGCUCACAUUGCCUCCCACCAUCUGACGACAUUGGAGCUCGAGGGCGUGAUGUUCUCGUGCGAAUACCCUCUGGAUUUAUCGAGCUGCCCCAACCUGGAGACCAUCAAGAUGAACCGAUGCUCCUCACUAAUUCACGUCAAUAUAUGGUCACGAUCUGUGCGAUGUCUUUGUAUCACGGAGUACGAUUUUUAUAGCUAUGAUGAGGAGAAACCUCGUGCUGCCGUUUAUGUCCCAAGCCUCGUCUACUUGGAGCUGAACGGCGGCCGUGGCCUGGUUCCUGCGUUUGAGAGCAUGCCCUUGUUGCAAACAGCAUCUAUCAAGUUUGACUGGACUUCAACUAGGGAAGACAACAAUGAUGGUUUCUUGCUUCUUGGACGCCUGUCAGAUGCCACUAAUCUAGAACUCAUAUCCGAGCCUCAAGCGCUUUCUUUCAGGAAAGAUUUAAUGCGGUGCACUGCAUUUAGCAAGCUCAAAACCUUGUCACUCAAUGAUUGGUGUGUAGAGCCUGAUUUUGGCCCACUACUCCACUUUCUCCAGAGGUCACCAAGUCUCGAGAAGCUCUGCCUCCGACUGUCUAAGCCAGAUGAACAUGCUAAAGAAACAAACGCAAGCUAUGUUUCAACUGAACCAUUUUUGGCAUCGAAGCAUCUUAGGGUUGUCAAGAUCAGAUGUCAGGCAAAUGAUGAGCGAGUUCCCAAAAUUUUGAAGGUCAUGAGUUCCUAUGGAGUACCUGCUGAGCAAAUCGACGUUAAGGAAGGAAAUUGGUCUUCCGAGGGAUCAUAUUCAGAUUCUGAGCAGUCAGACUAUUCGUAUUCAGAUACGGAUGAGUCAGAUUAA